CCUACGGGGGGCAGCAGUGGGGGAUAUUAGGCAAUGGGGGAAACCCUGACCUAGCGACGCCGCGUGAGGGAAGAAGGUCUUCGGAUUGUAAACCUCUGUCUUCGGGGACGAUAAUGACGGUACCCGAGGAGGAAGCUCCGGCUAACUACGUGCCAGCAGCCGCGAUAAUACGUAGGGAGCAAGCGUUAUCCGGAUUUAUUGGGUGUAAAGGGUGCGUAGGCGGGAAGCCAAGUUGAAUGUGAAAUACCGUAGCUCAACUACGGGGCUGCGUUCAAAACUGGUUUUCUUGAGUACAGCAGAGGUAAGCGGAAUUCCCAGUGUAGCGGUAAUAUGCGUAGAUAUUGGGAGGAACACCAGUGGCGAAGGCGGCUUACUGGGCUGAAACUGACGCUGAGGCACGAAAGUGUGGGGAGCAAACAGGAUUAGAUACCCUAGUAGUC
rnacentral:rRNA from 1 species